UGAAUACUAAUGUCCACUAGUCCUGCUUAUGUGUCAGGAGAUCAGCGAAGUGUGUGCAUGCGUGAGGGGCCUGGCAUCACACACAAGGACACCAACACCACACCCUCUUCUCUCGACUCCUCUAUCUCUCUCCACUCCUCCUCCUCCUCCUCCUCCUUCUUCCUCUUCCUCCUCCUCCUUAUCUCUUUCCUUACUCUCACCCCACUGUUGCCCGAAACACCACCACAACCACAACCACCACAACCACCACCAGCACAACUGCUGCUGUUAUUGCCAUCGGUGGCGGCAGGUUCACCAACCUCUCCACCACCACCACCACCACUACUACAACUACCACAACCACCACAACCACCACCACAACUACUACACCUACUACAACAAUUACUCUUCAUACUUCUACUCCAACCACCCAUUCAGUCCACUUCAUCACCGCCACCACCACCGCCAUCAUCAUCAUCACCACCGCCGCCGCCACCACCCUCAUCAGCAUCAUUGCUACCAUUGCCAUUACUACAACUCCCACCCACUCAGUACAGAACAGAAUAAUUCUAAACAUGACCAGGUAAUCUCUCCCUCCGGGGUGCACAAGUGACAGCUAUUUAGCCCUUUCUUCGCCCGGUCAUCUGGCCUUCUUCAAUCACACAGGAACAAAGUUAGUUAAUUGCCAGAGUCAUCCCUCCAAAAUGGCCACAGUGGGAGAACAAAUUCAGAUUAGCAGUCACACAGUGGACAAGGUCACCAAGGCCAAAGUGACCUUGGAAAAUUACUAUACCAACCUGCUUAUGCAACAUGAAGAGCGGGAAAUACGGUAUCGUAUGCUCGAGCAGUCAAUGGAAGAAGAAGGACUUUCUGAAGAGCAG
rnacentral:lncRNA from 1 species